rnacentral:lncRNA from 1 species
UUUUGUUGUGGUUGUUUGUGUGAUUGAGUUACCACCACCAAAUCAACUGUUAUUGGAAACAUUUCAGGUAUGGCUUUUAGAAGACCUGGACCUACUCUUGCCUGUUUUGACCCUCCAGUUUAUUGUGGAAGGAAGUAUCAUGUGGUUUCAUGUCUCCGGCAGAUCAAUCACUUUCCUCCAUCCAUAGCAGGGAGGAGUCAUGGCACCCCAGAGGGAUGAAAUACUUCUCCCCAAGUAUUUCUUAUUCUGUCUCUUCCUCUCUCUCAUUCCCUGCUCCACAUCUCUUUCUGUCUCCUUUUCCAGUUCUCUCUCCCUCCUCAUCUCACUGCAUGCCACUGUUCAGGCUCCUGGGGCUCCACGUGGAUGGGCGGACACGGGACUCCUAGGCUAAGUUUCACGGCACAAGCACAGGGCUGCAGGACCUAGGUCCCCCACCUCCCAGCACCCUCAAAAUGAGAGGUGUGGGGUGUGCCCGUGUUCUCCUGGGUGGGCGCCCCACGCUCCAGGAAGCAGAAACUGCAGGACAAAGCUGACACAAGUGACAUGCCCACGUGGCUGCCAGCUUCCCUCUUGGGAUCUGCUGAGGCCAAAGCAGAGGACACCUGCCCACAACCGACCCCGCACCAGGGUGGGGGGAGGGGUGGGUUUGGGGGUGGGAAUGGGGAUGGGAACAGCCACUGCAAAGCAGUCCCUGGCUGGCUUCCUGCCCUGCACCCUGUCAUGCAAGGCCUCUCCUCCCGCCCCACCCCUGCCCCUCACCACCUCCACCCCUAGGCUGUCCAAAUCCAGGCUCCAGAAGUCUCCCAGGAUCCAAGAACUAAGGGCAACCACUGGGCUCCGCAGCCCCUAGUCCAUGAGUCAGCCACCCCUCUGCAUGCUGACAAACCUUGGCUAUCACUUAUCCUCCACCCCAAACCAGCCCCAGCCUCAUCCUACUGCAGGCCUGUGUGGCUGCUGGAGAAGCCGGGCUCCUUUCCUCACUCCAAGGCUGCCUGAUAUACUUUCUGGAUCCUGGAGAAAACUGACCCACUAUUCUCAUACUGGUGCAGCUUCUUCCAAGACCUCAAAAUUGGACAACGUGAACUUGUCUUGUUUCUUGUCUCUUCUUGCUAGGACUGUCAUGGGGACAGUCUGAGAUGGGGGGUGGGGGGAGAAAAUGGAUGAAUGGAUGGAUGAAUGGACAUCCCCCCACCAGCAUUACCACCUCCUCCUAAACAUAGUCCUGAGAGCUCUAUUUCCUGGUAAACUUCCUCCUUCCCACCCUGGUCCAGGGAAGCCCAAAGGCCAGCGCCCUCCACCCACCCUUCCUGGGGUCCACUCUACUGUCUGCUUGCCCAGAUGUCUUAACCCAGCUUUACCAAGCUAGGACAGAUAGCAGGGAUGAGCCCCCAGCCUCUGCCAGGAAGAUUUGCCAAAAUGUUCUCAGUUUAGAAGCAGGGGCAGUGACGGGGCCUAGGGAUGACUCCAGGGUUGUCACUCAAGUAGCAAGAAGGGCAAGGAGGCCUGUUUCCUGCCCUUACCCUGGGAGAACUUGGCCGGGGCUCCACAAGGCCCUGCAGGGGCAGCAGGAGAGCAAAUCCACGCUCCUUUUGAGGAAGUCACCACCAUCCCUAGGAAGCAGCAGAUGGGGGUGCACUGGCAGAGCCCUCGCGUGCUAUAGGGCGAGGCCAGCAGAUCUGUACUCAGCCUCAGCCCCAGGGGAGCUGCAAGAUAGACUGAGACCCUCACAGGUUUGGCUCUGUGUCCCCACCCAAAUCUCAUCUGGAAUUGUAAUUCUCCUGUGUCAAGGGAGGAACCUGGUAGGAGGGGAUUGGAUUUGGGGACAGUUUCCCCCGUGCUGCUCCCCGGAUAGUGAGGUAGUUCUCAGGAGAGCUGAUGGUUUCAAAAUGUGGCACUUACUGGUUCUCCACUCACUCCCUCCUGCCAUCUUGUGAAGAAGGUGCCUGCUUCCCUUUCACCUUCUGCCGUGAUUGCAAGUUUCCUGAAGUGCAAGUCAAUAAAGCCUGUUUCCUUUAUAAAUUACCCAAUCUCAGGUAUUUCUUUAUAGCAGUGUGAAAACAAACGAAUACAGUCCCCUUCCCUGAGGUGCCUUCUCCUUAGGCAACCAGCUGCCCCCAUGCUCCUCCUCUGCCCCCUGGUAUUUCCUUUCCCCUCAUGAGGCCCAAGUGAUCCACAUGGCCAGCCCCAACCCCAUCCUACUGCAGGCCUGUGUGGCUGCUGGAGAGGCCGGGCUCCUUUCCUCACCCCAAGGCUGCCUGAUAUGCUUUCUGGAUCCUAGAGAAAACUGAUCCACUAUUCUCAUACUGGUGCAACUUCUUUCAAGACCUCAAAACUGGACAACAUGAACUUGUCUUGUUUCUUAUCUCUUCUUGCUAUGGCUGUCAUUGGGACAGUCCGAGAUGCGGCAAGAGCUGAAAAAGGAGAGCUGCUCAGAGCUGAAAAAACCUGCUCAGUGACCCUUCUCUUUCGUCCUCAUGGUGGCUUCGUAGAGUGGGUGCUGUUCCCAAAUGUACCCAUUCGACAGGAAACUGGGCAUCUCUGUGGCCCUGAGCAUCCCAGGAGGCCGAUCGUACAGAGACCUCUGGUGCCUGACCGCAGUUCACAUCCACAUCCCUGGAAUAGCCCAUCACAGGCUCUUCACCCUUGGCAGGUGGACACCAUUCAACCUGCCAGGGCAGGUGUGUGCCCGUUUCAUGGCAUAUGGGGACAACGGGAUUCUCUGUCCAGGUCCCACUCUUCUCGAGUCCUUGGGAAGAUGCCCACCCCUGCUUAGGGCUUCAGACUGCAGAGACCCAUGGAUGUGUGGGCCACGGGGUUUGGACCCUUUUUACCAGAGCGCAGUGGUGGAAUGCAGGUUAUACAACCAGCCAGCAUCUGGGAGCCCAGCGGGAGCAGUUCAGGGGUUCUCUGAAGCUGUCGGGUACAGUGUAACCUUUAGACAACUUUGUCUCACAGGAUGGACAUGGUAGAGGGCGCGGAUAGUGUGCAGGCAUAGGAGCGGGAGGACAUAAUUAUGAAGUAUCAGAAGGUACAGUUCGGUCUGCUCCUUGGAGGGAGGCCUUUUCCUGUGCGCCCUGGUCAAAGGGUCCUGGGUUCCCUCCGAGCACAGGGCAGGGACAGGUGGCCAAUACCCCCAGGCCCUUGCACCCUUUACCUUGGACCCCUCACCAAGGCUCCCUCUGGGUUACAGGGACACCGAGCUGGGCUGCCAGAGGACAAGGGGCCUGAACCUGUUGGAAUCUACAGCAGCGUUGAUCGCUUUGGGAUUCUGCAGUGAGUCCUCUGUGCUCCCCUCACCCCUAAAGCAGCUGUCUCAGCUCAGGGAUGGGUUUGCUUUUAGAAAGGCCUUUCUGACGCAGGACAUGUCUCGCCAGGUCGGGCCAACCUCUUUUCCAGGGUCAGAACUCCUCCCUGGCUC